rnacentral:rRNA from 1 species
UAACACGUGGGUAACCUGCCUGUAAGACUGGGAUAACUCCGGGAAACCGGAGCUAAUACCGGAUAGUUCCUUGAACCGCAUGGUUCAAGGAUGAAAGACGGUUUCGGCUGUCACUUACAGAUGGACCCGCGGCGCAUUAGCUAGUUGGUGAGGUAACGGCUCACCAAGGCGACGAUGCGUAGCCGACCUGAGAGGGUGAUCGGCCACACUGGGACUGAGACACGGCCCAGACUCCUACGGGAGGCAGCAGUAGGGAAUCUUCCGCAAUGGACGAAAGUCUGACGGAGCAACGCCGCGUGAGUGAUGAAGGUUUUCGGAUCGUAAAGCUCUGUUGUUAGGGAAGAACAAGUGCAAGAGUAACUGCUUGCACCUUGACGGUACCUAACCAGAAAGCCACGGCUAACUACGUGCCAGCAGCCGCGGUAAUACGUAGGUGGCAAGCGUUGUCCGGAAUUAUUGGGCGUAAAGGGCUCGCAGGCGGUUUCUUAAGUCUGAUGUGAAAGCCCCCGGCUCAACCGGGGAGGGUCAUUGGAAACUGGGAAACUUGAGUGCAGAAGAGGAGAGUGGAAUUCCACGUGUAGCGGUGAAAUGCGUAGAGAUGUGGAGGAACACCAGUGGCGAAGGCGACUCUCUGGUCUGUAACUGACGCUGAGGAGCGAAAGCGUGGGGAGCGAACAGGAUUAGAUACCCUGGUAGUCCACGCCGUAAACGAUGAGUGCUAAGUGUUAGGGGGUUUCCGCCCCUUAGUGCUGCAGCUAACGCAUUAAGCACUCCGCCUGGGGAGUACGGUCGCAAGACUG